GGAGGAAAAGAAACCACCAGGGAUUGCCUCAGUAGCGGCGAGUGAAGCGGCAAAAGCUCAAAUUUGAAAUCUGGCGUCUUUGGCGUCCGAGUUGUAAUUUGAAGAAGGUAUCUUUGGGCCCGGCUCUUGUCUAUGUUCCUUGGAACAGGACGUCACAGAGGGUGAGAAUCCCGUGCGAUGAGAUGACCCGGGUCUGUGUAAAGUUCCUUCGACGAGUCGAGUUGUUUGGGAAUGCAGCUCUAAGUGGGUGGUAAAUUCCAUCUAAAGCUAAAUAUUGGCGAGAGACCGAUAGCGAACAAGUACAGUGAUGGAAAGAUGAAAAGAACUUUGAAAAGAGAGUGAAAAAGUACGUGAAAUUGUUGAAAGGGAAGGGCUUGAGAUCAGACUUGGUAUUUUGCAUGCUGCUCUCUCGGGGGCGGCCGCUGCGGUUUACCGGGCCAGCAUCGGUUUGGAGCGGCAGGAUAAUGGCGGAGGAAUGUGGCACGGCUUCUGCUGUGUGUUAUAGCCUCUGACGAUACUGCCAGCCUAGACCGAGGACUGCGGUUUUUACCUAGGAUGUUGGCAUAAUGAUCUUAA
rnacentral:rRNA from 1 species